rnacentral:rRNA from 1 species
GAUGAACGCUAGCGACAGGCUUAACACAUGCAAGUCGAGGGGUAGCAGGAUAGAAGCUUGCUUUUAUUGCUGACGACCGGCGCACGGGUGAGUAACGCGUAUGCAACCUACCUAUCAGGGGGGGAUAGCCCAUUGAAAGAUGGAUUAAUACCGCAUAAAGCAGGGGUCCCGCAUGGGAAUAUUUGCUAAAGAUUUAUUGCUGAUAGAUGGGCAUGCGUUCCAUUAGUUAGUUGGUAAGGUAACGGCUUACCAAGACAUCGAUGGAUAGGGGUUCUGAGAGGAAGGUCCCCCACACUGGAACUGAGACACGGUCCAGACUCCUACGGGAGGCAGCAGUGAGGAAUAUUGGUCAAUGGGCGUAAGCCUGAACCAGCCAAGUAGCGUGAGGGAUGACUGCCCUAUGGGUUGUAAACCUCUUUUAUAUGGGAAUAACAGAUUCUACGUGUAGAAUUUUGCAUGUACCAUUAUGAAUAAGCAUCGGCUAACUCCGUGCCAGCAGCCGCGGUAACAC